ACAGAAUAAAGAACUAACAGACAGAACUGGAGGCUCUAAAGAGCCUGCGUCGCUCACCUUGGUCUAUGUGCAUAUAUAUCAAACAAAGGACACUCUCCAACAUUGUAGACGAGAAUAGACUUCAUGACUAAAUUCUCUAUUUUGUUGAUCUUGUAUUACUGAUCUUUUAGUCUGAUUAGUUUCUCUCUAUUUUCUUUUGUUUUUGCUCAAAACACAAAAGAGGGUAAAAAAAAUCCUCAUUUAAGGGCAAUCAGUCCUAUGAAGAGUGACAGUCUACUAUCUAUAUCGGCAAAAUUUGACUUUUUAAUGGAUCUUGCCUUGCUGAUCAUUUUUGUGAUUUAAAGUGUUUAUUUAUCUAAAAAAUUGACUAUAAAGGACAAUAACUCCUUAAGGGGUCAAUUGACCAUUUUGGUCAUGUUGACUUAUUUGUAGAUCUUACUUUGCUGAACAUUAUUGCUGUUUACAGUUUAUCUCUAUCUAAAAUAAUAUUCAAGAUAAUAACCAAUAAACAGCUGCGCCAUGAGCGCAUGUUACGCCCGUCGUCUUGUGUGUGAAUUUUGAUGCAAUAAGCAUAAAUAGUUUCUGACAUACGGCGUGACAUGCGAAAACCCCCCUUUUUUUUUACAAAAAACUCAAUAUCUCUAAAAUAAAAUUUUGAAUCAAAACCAAAAAGUAUACAGAUCUUUAGAUUAAUAUAACUAAGAAGUGUGUAAAAUUUUAAGCAAUAAUCAUAAAUCGUUUUUGAGAUACGGGCGCGACAUGUGAAAACCCCCCCUUUAAAAAAAAAUUUAAAAAAUCAAUAUCUCAAAAAUAAAAUUUUGAAUCAAAACCAAAAAGUAUACAGAUCUUUAGAUUAAUAUAACUAAGAAGUGUGUCAAAUUUUAAGCAAUAAUCAUAAAUCGUUUUUGAGAUACGGCGCGACAUGUGAAAAACCCCUCCCCCUUUUUUUACAAAAUACUCAAUAACUCAAAAUAAAAUUUUGAAUCAUCACCAAAAAGUAUACAGAUAUUAAGGUUAAUAUAACUAAGAAGUGUAUAAAGUUUUAAGCAAUAAUCAUAAACUGUUUUUGAGAUACGGUGCGACAUGUGAAAAACCCCUCCCCCUUUUUUAACAAAAUACUCAAUAUCUCUAAAAUAAAAUUUUGAAUCAUCACCAAAAAGUAUACAGAUCUUAAGAUUAAUAUAACUAAGAAGUGUGUAAAGUUUUAAGCAAUAAUCAUAAAUUGUUUUUGAGAUACGGCGCGACAUGUGAAAAAAAACACACACCUGUUUUAGUUACUAAGUCCCGUAACUCAAAAAGUUUUAAUCUUAUUUUCACCAAAAAGUAUACAGAUCGUUUGACCAUCAUAAGAAACAACUAUGUUAAGUUUCAUGAAAUUUGGAUAAGUCAUUCUCAAGUUACAGUGCGACAUGUUUACGCAGGACAGACAGACAGACAGACAGACAGACAGACGGACGGACAGACAGACGGACAGACAGACGGACGGACGCCGGACAUUUGUAUACCAUAAUACGUCCCGUCAAAAAUUUGACAGGCGUAUAAAAACUGCAAAAUUUCCUUAAAAUUACCAAUUCAGGGGCAGCAACCAACUAUGAGUUGUCUGAUUUGUCUAAAAAUUGCAGGGCAGAUAGAUCUUAAGCUGAUGAACAUUUUUAUCCAUGUCCGAUUAGCUCUAAAUACUUUAGAUUCAGAGAUAUCAGCCAAAAUCUGCAUUUUACCCCUAUGUUCUAUUUUUAGCCAUGUUGGCCAUCUUGGUUGGCGGGCCGGGUCAUCGGACACAUUUUUUAAACUAGAUACCCUAAUGAUGAUUGUGACCAAGUUUAGUUAAAUUUGUCUCAGUAGUUUCAGAGGAGAAGAUUUUUGUAAAAGAUUACAAAAAUUUACAAAAAAUUGUUAAAAAUUGACGGUAAAGGGGAAUAACUCCAUAAAGGGUCAAUUGACCAUUUUGGUCAUGUUGACUUAUUUGUAGAUCUUACUUUGCUUUACAUUAUUGCUGUUUACAGUUUAUCUCUAUCUAUAAUAAUAAUCAAGAUAAUAAACAAUAAAAUGCUUCGCUGAGCGCAGCUGGAUACGACUGCAGAGGUCCAACCCUUAACAGUUGGGGCAAAAAUGGACACAAUAUUCGCGCUUGAUACAGGUCUGAAUUUGGAUUGUAAUUAAAUAUUUGACACAUAAUAGGUUUCUGACACAGAAUAACUGUAGUCAAAGAACUUAGAAUUGGUUAUAUCAUUUGAAUUUAUAU